rnacentral:rRNA from 1 species
CACCUACCGCCUUUAGUUGCCAGCAUUCAGUUGGGCACUCUAGAGGGACUGCCGGUGUCAAACCGGAGGAAGGUGGGGAUGACGUCAAGUCCUCAUGGCCUUUAUGUCUAGGGCUACACACGUACUACAAUGGCCGGUACAAAGGGCAGCCACUCAGCGAUGAGGCGCUAAUCCCAUAAAGCCGGUCUCAGUCCGGAUCGCAGUCUGCAACUCGACUGCGUGAAGUUGGAAUCGCUAGUAAUCGUAGAUCAGCAUGCUACGGUGAAUACGUUCCCGGGCCUU